AGUGAACGCUGGCGGUAGGCCUAACACAUGCAAGUCGAACGGCAGCACAGUAAGAGCUUGCUCUUACGGGUGGCGAGUGGCGGACUGGCGCGUAAUACAUCGGAAUCUACUUUUUCGUGGGGGAUAACGUAGCGAAACUUACGCUCAAAACGCAUACGACCUACGGGUGAAACAAUGGGAUCUUCUGUCCUGGCGCGAUUGAAUGAGCCGCUGGCGGAUUAGCUAGUUGGCGGGGUGCAGGCCCACUAAGGCGACGAUCCGUAGCUGGUGUGAGAGGGUGAUGAGGCGCACUGAAACUGAGACACGGUCCAGACUCCUACGGGAGGCAGCAGUGGGGAAUAUUGGACGAUGGGCGGAAGCCUGAUCCAGCCAUACCGCGUGGGUGAAGAAGGCCUUCGGGCUGUAAAGACCUUUUGUUGGGAAAGAAAAGCAGCAGGUUAAUACCCCGCUGUUCCGACGGUACCCAAAGAAUAAGCACCGGCUAACUUCGUG
rnacentral:rRNA from 1 species